AGAGUUUGAUUAUGGCUCAGAACGAACGCUUGCUGCAUGCUUUAUACAUGCAAGUCGAACGAAGGCCCUAGCUUGCUAGGUGUCCUUAGUGGCGCACGGGUGAGUAACACGUGGGAACAUACCUCAUAGUACGGAAUAACUGCGGGAAACUGUAGCUAAUACCGUAUAUUCCAGAAAUGGGAAAGAUUUAUCGCUAUGAGAUUGGCCCGCGCAAGAUUAGCUUGUUGGUAAGGUAACGGCUUACCAAGGCUCCGAUCUUUAGCUGGUUUGAGAGGAUGAUCAGCCACACUGGGACUGAGACACGGCCCAGACUCCUACGGGAGGCAGCAGUAGGGAAUAUUGGACAAUGGGGGAAACCCUGAUCCAGCAAUGCAGCGUGAGUGACGAAGGCCUUAGGGUUGUAAAACUCUUUCAUCGGUGAGGAUAAUGACAGUAGCCGAAGAAGAAGGACCGGCUAAUUCCGUGCCAGCAGCCGCGGUAAUACGGAAGGUCCUAGCGUUGUUCGGAAUUACUGGGCGUAAAGCGCAUGUAGGCGGAACAAAAAGUUAGAAGUGAAAUCCCUGGGCUCAACCUAGGAAUUGCUUUUAAAACUUUUGUUCUGGAAUUCAGGAGAGGAAAAUGGAAUUUCCAGUGUAGAGGUGAAAUUCGUAGAUAUUGGAAGGAACACCAGUGGCGAAGGCGAUUUUCUGGACUGAUAUUGACGCUGAGAUGCGAAGGCAUGGGUAGCAAACGGGAUUAGAUACCCCGGUAGUCCAUGCAGUAAACGAUGGGUGCUAGUCGUCGGACUUUUGUUCGGUGUCGUAGCUAACGCGUUAAGCACCCCGCCUGGGGAGUACGGUCGCAAGAUUAAAACUCAAAUAAAUUGACGGGGACCCGCACAAGCAGUGGAGCAUGUGGUUUAAUUCGACGCAACGCGAAGAACCUUACCAGCGUUUGACAUGGGAAGUGCCGGUUACAGAAUGGUAACCUUCAGUUCGGCUGGCUUCCGCACAGGUGCUGCAUGGCUGUCGUCAGCUCGUGUCGUGAGAUGUUGGGUUAAGUCCCGCAACGAGCGCAACCCUUAUCGUUAGUUACUAACAGUUCGGCUGAGGACUCUAGCGAAACUGCCGGUGAUAACGCCGGAGGAAGGUGGGGAUGACGUCAAGUCCU
rnacentral:rRNA from 1 species